rnacentral:misc_RNA from 1 species
CCCGCGCCCCGACCUGAGCGGAGCUCUUUUUUGCGAAACACAGUAAAGCAAAAAAAGCGGGAGCGGAGGGCGGAAAUGGCG